ACAUGGGCUUACAUGGGACAUUCUGUUCAAUCUCAUGGAUAAAGAAAGUGAUAAAUUGGUCUAUGAGAAUAUGCUAUAUAAUCUCUGUCAACAUCCUCAUUGGCCCUCUUCAGCAAAGAUUACAAAUUUGGUGAACUUAAUAAAUAACUUGAUUGAAAGGCAUGCAAGUCUUAAGCUCGACUGUUAUAAUAUACUUGCUGCUAUCCAUUGUUUGCUUGGUA